GCGCUCUGGCCCUGGAAACCUGGAGAGGAGGCACAGAGGGAACAGAACCUGGAGCUCUUGCCCUGCCUGCCAUCUUGGGAGCUAAUGAGAAGUGAGCAGAGAAGCUGACAGGAAACUCAUGUCUUUGUGUUGCUCUGUAGCGAUAACCAGAGCUCUCAAACCCACCGCCAGCCUCACCUCCCCUGCAGAGCCUGAGAUCUCCUGAGCACCUUGUUAAAACAGGGCCACCCAGAGCAUCUAGGCUCUAGUCCUGGCUACCACGCACCUGCUUGGCUCAUUGCUCCUUAUGACGCUGUGGGUUGGACAGAAGCUGACUGCCAUGUCACCAACGACAUGAUAUGGACCUGAGAUAGUUUACUGAGCCUGGUCCCUUUUGACUUGUCUUAAACCCUAAAUAAGGGCUGAAUGAACCAUCUAAGAAUUUCACGGUACUUUGAAGCUUUCAAACACUUCCAUACGUCACAUUUCUGCUGAUUCUCCUGGCUGGAAUAUACUUCAGGCACCAUCACUCCUGACAACGAGAGAGAUGAGCCAGAGAGGCCUGUAUAAAUUAUACCAGGACCCAGACCUCUGGCCAGAAGUUGCACCCUGUAUUGGGGAACUCCUAUUCCCUGCCUGAGCCCUGGAGGAUCCUGGACAGCACCCCAGACUACCCUCUGCUGAGGGCAUGUUGGGCCAUUCUCCCUAUACUCCAGAGGAGUCCUAGGGGGCAUUCCUGGGGCCUCCAAGGCUGGGCAUAUGGAAGUAGUUAUGAGCUGUGAGGCUAGGUUUGCUGUUUUUGGUCAAUAAUUACUUUGAAAUAAGGGUUCUGAGAAUUCAGCAACAGUGCCAGCUGGCAGCGUCCUUGCCCCACACACCCAGGACAGACCAUGACAAUACAAGGCUGGGAAAACCACCCAUCCCAUCGAGAGCAUUCUGGCUUGUGAUGAAAGAAAGAGCAAUGAGCUCAAAACAGAUCCCCAGGGCCAUGCCUCCCUGAGCCUUGCCGCCUAGGGCCAUCUUUCCACCAGAUUUGGAAAACCCAAAAACCCCAUGUGAAACAGCCUCUUCACUGGGAAGAUUAUUCUGUGCACCCAGAUCCAACUAAGGAAACCAGUUCAGUCCUAGACUCAAGAGAAAGCCAUGUGAACAAGCUCACAGCACGAGUUGGGAGAGCUUCUCUGACCGAAAGGCACCUGAACAUGAACAAACAACAGGAUGGUGGUCCUGAGUUUCCACCUCGAGCCCUGUCCCAUCCUGCACCUCUCUUUUGCCCAACGAUAGCCCCUGAGCCACAUGUUCCGAUAAACCUCAACUGCAGUUAAUAGAACCUCGUAGCUUCCUACCAGUCUGCUCACCUCUCCCUAGACUUCCCAGUAUGAAGAAACUUCUAGAACCUUUUGGGGUGGAAGAGGAACUGCUGAAUAAAACCACGAUGACGCCACAGCCCUGUGUGUGGAAAGCAAGAGCCCUGCAGUGCUGGCAUACCAGCUGGAGGUGAAACACGCAGCCAGUGGAGCCCGGGACCCAGCACCACCUGCUGCAGGACUACCUCCGCUCCAUUCAACCCUCUGGAGCAGAGGCUAGAAGGAAUGGCAAAGCCAGCAGAGUGUAGCUGGACCAAACCUUGCCUGCCACCCAACCCCUCCACAGGACACAACUAUAGGGUCCUUCUGCCUUCAGAGUCUCCCAAUGGAAGGGACAAGGGAUGGGGUGGAGAAUCAGCAGGAUUCUGAACAGGGUCUCCGAGGAACAGGAGAGGGAUAAAACCAAACCCGAAAGCUCCAGGCCUUUCUGGAAGAAGUGAGGACCACAUUCUUGGUAUCUAUCUAUCAUGCCCCAGGAAACACUCAGGCUGAAAAAUCUACUGGGGACACUUGUCCUGCUGUCACUUCACACCUGAGGAGGACAUCCUUGCUUAGGCUAAGAAGGUUACAAGAUGUGGGUCACGGGCUAUGGCAACUGGCCAGACCACAGUCCUCAGUCAAAAACUCCAAGAGACAGAGGCCAGCACACAUGGAACCUCGUCAGGAGAAUCUGGGUCUCCCAGUCACUCAAGCCCUGCACUGAGCUACCUCCUCAUACACACUGCCAACCUGGCUCCCUGAGAGUCUUCCUCUCAUAGAUGAGAAAACUCAUGUCCAGAGACGGGAAGCUCCCAGCCCCAAAUCACACAGCCUGUAAACUAUAGGUAAGCCAUAAAUUCAGCUUGUCUGACAACAGCUUGCACCUUACUAUAGGGUCUAGUUGUCCCUAUGGGGAACUUACAUAAAUACAGGAAUGUCAC
ensembl:antisense 4930466I24Rik RIKEN cDNA 4930466I24 gene